ACGAACGCUGGCGGCAGGCCUAACACAUGCAAGUCGAGCGAACCCUUCGGGGUUAGCGGCGGACGGGUUAGUAACGCGUGGGAAUAUGCCCAAAGGUACGGAAUAGCCUCGGGAAACUGAGAGUAAUACCGUAUGUGCCCUUCGGGGGAAAGAUUUAUCGCCUUUGGAUUAGCCCGCGUUGGAUUAGGUAGUUGGUGGGGUAAUGGCCUACCAAGCCGACGAUCCAUAGCUGGUUUGAGAGGAUGAUCAGCAACACUGGGACUGAGACACGGCCCAGACUCCUACGGGAGGCAGCAGUGGGGAAUCUUAGACAAUGGGGGAAACCCUGAUCUAGCCAUGCCGCGUGGACGAUGAAGGCCUUAGGGUUGUAAAGUCCUUUCAGCUGGGAAGAUAAUGACGGUACCAGCAGAAGAAGCCCCGGCUAACUCCGU
rnacentral:rRNA from 1 species